rnacentral:rRNA from 1 species
UACGGAGGGGGUUAGCGUUGUUCGGAAUUACUGGGCGUAAAGCGCACGUAGGCGGAUUAGAAAGUAUGGGGUGAAAUCCCGGGGCUCAACCCCGGAACUGCCUCAUAAACUCCUAGUCUAGAGAUCGAGAGAGGUGAGUGGAAUUCCAAGUGUAGAGGUGAAAUUCGUAGAUAUUUGGAGGAACACCAGUGGCGAAGGCGGCUCACUGGCUCGAUACUGACGCUGAGGUGCGAAAGUGUGGGGAGCAAACAGG